rnacentral:tRNA from 2 species
GGGCCCGUGGUCUAGAGGAAACUCAUUUUCUGAGUUUCGGAAAACUCGGUAUGACGUCCGCUUGACGUGCGGAAGGUCGUGCGUUCAAAUCGCGCCGGGCCCA